rnacentral:rRNA from 1 species
UCCUACGGGGGGCAGCAGUGAGGAAUAUUGGUCAAUGGGCGAGAGCCUGAGCCAGCCAAGUCGCGUGAGGGAAGACGGUCCUAUGGAUUGUAAACCUCUUUUGCCGGGGAGCAAAAAGCGGUACGUGUACCGCAUCGAGAGUACCCGGAGAAAAAGCAUCGGCUAACUCCGUGCCAGCAGCCGCGGUAAUACGGAGGAUGCGAGCGUUAUCCGGAUUUAUUGGGUUUAAAGGGUGCGUAGGCGGACUGUUAAGUCAGCGGUAAAAGCCCGGGGCUCAACCCCGGCGAGCCGUUGAAACUGGCUGU